AGGGUUUGAUCCUGGCUCAGAACGUACGCUGGCGGCACGCCUAACACAUGCAAGUCGAACGCAGUAGCAAUACUGAGUGGCAGACGGGUGAGUAACAUGUGGGAAUCUGCCUUGUGGUUCAGGACAACAUUGGGAAACCGAUGCUAAUACUGGAUAAGCCCUUACGGGGAAAGUUUUAAUGCCAUAAGAUGAGCCCGCAUUUGAUUAGUUAGUUGGUGAGGUAAUGGCUCACCAAGACAAUGAUCAAUAGCUGAUCUGAGAGGAUGAUCAGCCACACUGGGACUGAGACACGGCCCAGACUCCUACGGGAGGCAGCAGUGGGGAAUCUUGCACAAUGGAGGAAACUCUGAUGCAGCGAUGCCGCGUGAGUGAAGAAGGCCUUUGGGUUGUAAAGCUCUUUUGUAGGGGAAGAUAAUGACUGUACCCUAAGAAUAAGGUCCGGCUAACUUCGUGCCAGCAGCCGCGGUAAUUCA
rnacentral:rRNA from 1 species